rnacentral:rRNA from 1 species
GGGCCCGCACAAGUAGUGGAGCAUGUGGUUUAAUUCGAAGAUACGCGCAGAACCUUACCAACACUUGACAUGUUCGUCGCGACUCUAAGAGAUUAGAGUUUUCGGUUCGGCCGGACGAAACACAGGUGCUGCAUGGCUGUCGUCAGCUCGUGUCGUGAGAUGUUGGGUUAAGUCCCGCAACGAGCGCAACCCUCACUUUUAGUUGCCAUCAUUAAGUUGGGCACUCUGAAAGAACUGCCAGUGAUAAGCUGGAGGAAGGUGGGGAUGACGUCAAGUCCUCAUGGCCCUUACGUGUUGGGCUACACACGUGCUACAAUGGCAUCUACAACGGAAGCAAAACGGCAACGUUAAG